UACGAGGGGGGCGAGCGUUGUUCGGAAUUAUUGGGCGUAAAGGGUGCGCAGGCGGUUCCGCAAGUCCUGUGUGAAAUCUUCGGGCUCAACUCGAAGUCUGCACGGGAAACUGCGGGGCUUGAGUGUGGGAGAGGUGAGUGGAAUUCCCGGUGUAGCGGUGAAAUGCGUAGAUAUCGGAAGGAACACCUGUGGCGAAAGCGGCUCACUGGACCAUAACUGACGCUGAGGCGCGAAAGCGUGGGGAGCAAACAGG
rnacentral:rRNA from 1 species